GCCUUCGUGGUGUAGUGGUCAGCACGCUUGACGCGUAUUCGAGAGGUCCGUGGUUCGAGUCCCGGCGAAGACG
rnacentral:tRNA from 1 species